rnacentral:tRNA from 1 species
GCUGGCGUAGCUCAGUGGCCAGAGCAGGGGUUUUGUAAACCUCAGGUCGUGGGUUCGAAUCCCUCCGCCAGCUCCA